UACGUAGGGUGCAAGCGUUGUCCGGAAUUAUUGGGCGUAAAGAGCUCGUAGGCGGUUUGUCGCGUCUGCUGUGAAAACUCGGGGCUUAACCCCGGGCCUGCAGUGGGUACGGGCAGACUAGAGUGCGGUAGGGGAGACUGGAAUUCCUGGUGUAGCGGUGAAAUGCGUAGAUAUCGGGAGGAACACCAGUGGCGAAGGCGACUACCUGGCCUGUUCUUGACGCUGAGGCGCGAAAGCUAGGGUAGCAAACGGG
rnacentral:rRNA from 1 species